UCAGCACCUCGCCUUCCGGGACUGCGCUGCACUUCCGGGUUCUCUCUAGGAGCGCGGGAGGAUUUUGCAUCUCGGUUGCCGAAUCGCUGGACCCGGCUCCCGGCCUCGGGGCUCGGCUCAAGCUUCCAGCCGUGAGGCUCCCCCGCCCGGCUUGUGCGCCGGGAGUUAACGCGGGGGACCGACGCGAGGCGGGGUUCAGAAGUCCCACAGACAACCAGGCUGCCCGGCUCACACAGCAGUCCAUAUGAUAAUUCGAUUUCUCCUGUGCUUUCCAUCCAGUAAUUAUAGCUAUUAUCAAGCAAUAAUAAUUCUUAGUAAUUGCAUGCCUGUGGCAGAGCCGCUGAAGCAAGGGUGUGUCAACAGAAGACGAGCAAAAUGAAGCCGGAGUGGCUGGUUCCACAAAACUGCGCCGCUAGCUUCUCUCUGGCCCCGGAGACGUCGGCCAAUGGAACCAGAAGAGGAAAUCACAGCAUUGACAUCAGGAUGGGGGUAAAGAGACAAUAACCAAAGAAGACACUGUGGUGGUGGCGUUACGG